rnacentral:rRNA from 1 species
AAAUACAUGAUUCCCCANUACUGCGAGUGAAGAGGGACAAGCUCAAAUUUUAAAUCUGUCGGGUUCUCCUGNACCGAGUUGUAAUUUGAAGAAGCGUUUUCCGCGCCGUUUGAUCAGCCCAAGUCUUAUUGAAUGAGGCAUCAUGGAGGGUGAUAAUCCCGUUCGGUUGAUCAAUUGUGCUUUACGAUACGCUUUCAAAGAGUCAAGUUGUUUGGGAUUGCAGCUUAAAAUGGGAGGUAAAUUUCUCCUAAGGCUAAAUAUUGGCGAGAGACCGAUAGCGAACAAGUACCGUGAGGGAAAGAUGAAAAGAACUUUGAAAAGAGAGUUAAACAGUACGUGAAAUUGUUGAAAGGGAAACGAUUGAAGCCAGUCGUACCGGCGGGUAAUCAGCCCUUCGGGUAUGAUUCUGUGGAGCGUGAGGAGUUAAACGCCUUCAUGCCUGCAUAUUCGUGCUCUUGGGUGUACUUGCUCGUGUGGUUGGUUAACAUCAAUUUCGGAUAUCAUAAAAUGGCUGGAGGAAUGUAGCUUCGAUUUCGAUUGAAGUGUUAUAGCCUUCGGCAGAUGUGAUGAUCGUGAUUGAGGAUUGCAACGGAUACCCUUCGGGGCUACCUGUCUGAUCUCUGAUCGUUGCUCUGGUGCCGAAAGCGUGCUUACGGUUAUCAAAGUCGAUGGUCAAUAGGUUAGAAUGGGUUAAAUUCGUUAAGGAUGUUGACGUA